rnacentral:rRNA from 1 species
AACGAACGCUGGCGGCGUGCCUAACACAUGCAAGUCGUGCGAGAAAGUUCCUUCGGGAGCGAGUAAAGCGGCGCACGGGUGAGUAACACGUAGGUAACCUGCCCCCCAGUCUGGAACAACUAGAGGAAACUCUAGCUAAUGCCGGAUGAGACCACGAUCCCUUCGGGGGUUGCGGCCAAAGAUGGCCUCUACUUGUAAGCUAUCGCUGAGGGAUGGGCCUGCGGGCCAUUAGCUUGUUGGUGAGGUUACGGCUCACCAAGGCUGUGAUGGCUAGCUGGUCUGAGAGGAUGACCAGCCACACUGGGACUGAGACACGGCCCAGACUCCUACGGGAGGCAGCAGUGGGGAAUAUUGCGCAAUGGGCGAAAGCCUGACGCAGCGACGCCGCGUGGGUGA